CUCAACCCUAUCUAUAACGAAAAGGAGAUGGAGAAACUCAUUAUUUUCUCCGCCUCCCUCUCGUUUCUCUUUCUCCUCCUCGUCUUAUCCUUCUGAACCUUCUCCUUAGUUUCUCAGAUAAAGCAAAGAGAUUUGCUUCUUCAUCUCACUACUUCCACUAUCACCAUAACACCACCGCAGAGAAAGAACCUCUUUCUUCUUUAACUGAACUUAGAGGGAAACCUAAACUUAUCGAAAUCUCAUAUCUGGAAACCCAUUUUGUAGAAAUUAAAUCUAUCUUUGAAGAACCUGUAUUCAGAAACCCCAGAGAAUCGAUUUUGAGACAAUAAAAAUUCUGAGUAUAAAAUUGAUUUUGUAAUUUGAAAAGAAGAAUAAGGUAAACUCUAAACUCUAAACCCAUUACUUGUUUUUUCUUUUGAUUUGAAGACUAUAAGAAGAUUCAAGUAUUAAUAUGUUACUUUCUUUUCCCUAGUAUUCAUUUACAGUAGAAAAAAAGGAUUCGUUUUUCUUCUUCUUCUAUCAAGAAAUCGUUUCUUUCAGAAACACGAUACAGAUUUUAAGGAGUUAUUCUAAGACCAAUUACCAACUCAGUUGGAUUUCUAAGGAAUCGCUAGGAUUGAGGUCUUCAAACAAGCUUGGGGAGAUUGCUGAUGUGCGUUUCUCCUCAGUCGAGGACGAAAGGUUCAAAGGAUUCGGCUAUGUUGAGUUUGUAAUGACAGGAGAUCAAUCUCUGCCUUCUGCAUAGUUUCGGUAAUAACCCUAUUUCCUGGUCUUCAAAGAAACAGAAUACAGUUGCUCGUAACUCUACAGAGGUUGAAUAUAGAUCAUUAGUACAAACUACUGCAUAAGUUAUAUGGGUAUGUCAACUGGAAAUCCUGAUGACAGGAGAUCAACCUCUGGCAUCUUCAUAGCUUUCUUUCUUACACUCCUACCAUUGGUGGUGAUAACCUCAGCUCUAUCUCCCUUGCUGCCAAUCCUGUUCAACAUAGUCGAAUGGAACAUAUUGCAGUCGACUAUCAUUUUAUUCGUGAACUUGUGCAAUCCAAGACUUUGAAGUUGUAUUAUAUCUCCACUAGUCAACAGGUUGCUGACAUCUUCACUAAGGGCUUAUCCUCUACCAGGUUUGAGUUUCUUAAAGACAAAUUGAAUGUGUUGGUGCCACCACAGCUCAAUUUGCUGGGGGAUAAUAGUGUAACAAAAGUGUGACCGAGUCACUGGGUCUGUUUGUACAUCAGUGCUACACUGAAGUCUUAUUUCUCAAUCAGUUGUAACUGUCUAUGACGGUCUGUCAUUGUGUCUGUAUGUCUGUAUAUAAACAUUAAACAGCACUCUCUCUUCUCCUUUAAUGAAACUGUAUCUUCUUUCCUCAA